UACGAAGGGGGCUAGCGUUGUUCGGAUUUACUGGGCGUAAAGCGCACGUAGGCGGAUUGUUAAGUCAGGGGUGAAAUCCUGGAGCUUAACUCCAGAACUGCCUUUGAUACUGGCAAUCUAGAGUCCGGAAGAGGUGAGUGGAACUCCUAGUGUAGAGGUGGAAUUCGUAGAUAUUCGCAAGAACACCAGUGGCGAAGGCGGCUCACUGGCCCGAUACUGACGCUGAGGCACGAAAGCGUGGGGAGCAAACAGG
rnacentral:rRNA from 1 species